rnacentral:rRNA from 1 species
UACGUAGGGUGCAAGCGUUGUCCGGAAUUAUUGGGCGUAAAGCGCGCGUAGGCGGCUCGGAAAGUCGGUCGUGAAAUGCCGGGGCUCAACCCCGGGACUGCGUCCGAUACUCCCGAGCUGGAGGCAGGUAGGGGAGAUCGGAAUUCCUGGUGUAGCGGUGAAAUGCGCAGAUAUCAGGAGGAACACCGGUGGCGAAGGCGGAUCUCUGGGCCUUGCCUGACGCUGAGGCGCGAAAGCUAGGGGAGCGAACAGG